rnacentral:lncRNA from 1 species
GGGAGCCGCCCCGGGACCAACUGCCCUCGUUGCUCACACCAAGGAGGCCUUGGCUAGCUCAGCCGGACCCCAAAGCCUGGACCGGGUCUCCACCUCCCCCCCACCCCCGUGCCCACGCCCUCCAUGCCGGCCUCGCCCGGGAGCAGAUCACUGCUGCCUCGCCCCCGCGGCCCACUCGCCCAGCGGGGCGCCUUAUCCGAGAGCCCUCCGGGCCUCAGCUUUAUCACCCGGCACCACCCGGCGUGGUUCUAACCCCGCGCCUUUGCGCUGCGCUGCACACCAGCUUUUUUUUUCUAAGACAGGAUCUCCCUGAGUUGCUCAGCUGCCCAGCCUGGGCUCGAACCUGCAGUCCAGCGCGGAGGCCUGGCCAACCCCUGACUUCCCGUGGCUGGGCCCAGGGUGUCAGCAGAGUCAGCUUCCAGGGAAUCCGACCUCUGGUCUCCCGCCCGAGUCCAGGGCCUUCCUGAGACUCCAGUCUUCGUGCCGAUGUCCCCAGGGCUGUGAUUGUCUCUGCACAAAACCCACUUGGCUCCCGGCUGGGGGUAGACGCGGAACACAGCCCAUCCACGCGGCCCCAUGGUGCACAGCGGCUGUGUCUCGGGCCAGCGAGGGAGGCGGACGUGGGCCUGGUGGACAUCGCUGGUGUCACAGUCUCCCAUUUCCUAGGAAACCUCUGACCUGCUCCUGCUCUGCCCCGGGGCCUUUGUACCCCCCCCCCCCCACCCCGCGCCCCAUCCCCCCCACCCUUGUCCCCAGCAGGCGUGGGGCCGGACUUUCCGCCCCUGCCCUGUCGCUGUCUGCCUUUCUCAGGGCCGGGAUGCCGGGCACCGAGCCCAGGGCCUUGUGCGCCCCAGGCAGUCACCCUGCGUGGAGCCCCCAGAGCCGCCCCCGGUCCUUUCUGUUUUAUUUUGAGACAGCGGCUUGCUACACUAUGGCCGCUGGGCCCCAGGCAGAGCAGGGUGGGGAAGGACGAGGAAGAGGAGGAAGGCGCGCGGCCGACCGCCAGCCGAGGGCGCCAGAGGGUGGGAGGGGGCGCGCACCUGCUGCUGCUGCUGCUGCUGCUGCUGUGCGGGCGGCGAGCGGGAGCCGCGCUGCCCAGGGCGCCCACGUCCACGGCCGAGCAAGGACAGUGAGGGAGAAGCACGCUCGCCACCCGAGUCCCGCGAGAGCCGCGUGCGGCAGGGCCCGGGCGCACCAGACGCCCGGGGCUCCUACACCGCAAAGACCUGGAUGGAAGGAAGACCGGCAAACACUCUCCGUCUCCUACACCCACCCAUGUUGGGAUGGCAGCAUUUG